GUGGAGCACAUCUUAACCAAAGCUAAAGUUUAAAAAUCUUGACAAAAAUAUAUGAGAGGAAGAUUCUUCCAUUUACCAAGACAGAAGUCUCACUUCGAAAAGGAAGAAAUUGUUCACUAAGAAUAUAUCUAAAGAAAAGAUAGACAAAAUUAAAAUAAAUGAGCCAGAAAGACAGAGUGAGGGCUUGCUGCUGGUUGUAGUUACAGACCUAGCCGGCGGCAGCCAGCCUGCGAUUUAGUAAUUCAGAAGAGGAGAACGGAUGCAAGAGAGGAUAGUUAAUCCGAUCACAGCCUGUGUGAUUCUUUCUAGGAUAAUUUCGUGAGAAAAAAGAAAAAGAAAAAAGCAUCAGAGUUCAAAAUAGCCGUCACUAAUCAACACCAUGCAUGUCUUGGACUUGAAGUAUUCGGUAGAGCGCAGUACUACAUAUAUAUAUAUCACUUUUUUUGAAAACAGAUUAUCGUAAUAAAUGCUUCGAUGCUCCUCCCAAGAUUUAGGGCGAUGAUAAGAUCUUGCUUCCAUAUGCUGCAUCCAAUAUUCUCCUUAAUCUGAAGCAAUAGCAUUGAUAAAGAAAGCUUACAUAUAUUAUCAGAAUUUUCUUCUUGAUUAUUAUUACAUACCAGUCAGGCACAAUGACACAGAGGGACAGCAUAUGGGGAGGCCUAUGAAAUCAUGUUAUAUGACUAUAUAAUUAUGAUACCCAAGUGCUUUUGAGCAAAAGCAGCCAGGUUAUCGAUUUCACUGUCAUCAAUAACACCGUUGCGAUUGGCGUCUGCUGCCUUUACCCCACUCUUUCCCUUCCAACCAGCGAACCAUCCUCCAUUACCUCGGACAGCGUCAGCGAGUUCAUCCUUGUUUAUCUUGCCAUCUUUAUCAGCAUCAAGUGUUUUGACCCAAGUCCUGAACUGCGCCAUGGUCAUUUCACGUUUGCCACCGAAACUAAGACUACGAUUCGUGAGUGUCAUUUUAGAGAUAAUGACAACUGAUGUAUAAGUAGUGUGCUUAUCUUUUAGAGAUCACAAACGUUUGUUGCAUACAGGUCUAUGAAGGCUUCUCAUUUUUAUACUACCUGAUCUCCCUCCCUCCGCACUUUUUUUUUUUUUUGGUAUAUAUAUGUUUGUGUGUGUUGUUAAAAAAUCAAUUUAACUUAAAAGCUUAAAUUUUUAUAUAAAAUUUCAAAAUAUGAUUUAUAUUAAUAUUCUUAACAUAUCUUUUAAGUAAAAACCAUUUAGCCUUAAAACUUGUAUAAACCCAUAUUAUCUUAUGCUUAAAUUUUUAUCAAAUAAUUAAAUGGAGAUGGUGAGAUUCGAACUUGUGGUCAUUUGAUCAUCAAGAUUUUGAUACCAUAUUAAAAAAUUAAUUUAUAUUAAAAACUUAAACUCUAAAAUUUUUUAAAUGAUAUGUCAAGAUAUAAUUUAUAUUAUUUUCUAUAUAGCUUAAUUAUGCUUUCAUACAUAAUAAGAAUAUCUUAUUAAAGUGAUAUGAGCGUGAAUUGGAAGAGCUUUAUAAAAAAACAAAAAUCGAGCAUUUUUUUCAUGACCUGCGGAGAAUAAUACUGUUGAUUAAUUAAUUUUAUGCGGUAAUUUAGAAGAAGAAGAAGAAGAGAUUAUUUAGUCCAUUGUAAACUUGCAUACUUUCAAUUAAGUUGCGAGAUAAAUAUCUCCUCCAAUUCCCUACUCUCUUCUUAAUCACUUUGAGAUUAUAACCUGAUAUUCUUUCCCAUCCUUCAUUUUAUACUUCAAGAACAAGAGAUGUUUAUCCUGUUGGGAAUAAUUGUCGGAAGUGAUUCAUGACUCGUUAGAUAUCUUACUUUAUUGAUUGGCUUGCUUACAUAAUUAAAUAUUUUGCGUAAUAGUAUACGGUCACCGUUCCCCUAUCUGUCGAAGAACACGCAUGCACAGUGCUCAUCUCUUCGACAUGUUCUAAUUAAAAAACAAUAACAGGCGACUUCGAGCAACAGGUUGUUUUUUUUUAAUCAAUGGUGGGAGAAAUGUUACAUGGCUGUUAUUCGUAUUCGUUCUUGAGUAAAGGAGACCUUAGUUGAAUAAAUUCUGUGCCUGGGUAUUUUCACUUUCAGAAUCGUUGGAAUUACUAAUUUCAAAAGCGCUACAGUCUUGGGGGACAUGUAAAUUACACAUUCCUCCCAGGUCUCCUCCUCAACAUGUGGAUAGAGUCGAAUAUUUUUAUAACGAAGAGAAUCACCGAGAAGAGAGAAUGAAAAGAGGAGAAGAAAGUAAUUGGAAUCGAAGCCUUCAUGAUGAGGAAUCUUGAUCUUUGCAUGGACAGGUCACAAACACAAAUUGAUAGGAAGGGCAUCACAAUCCGGUCCUAGUAUCUGGUACUACACCUGUGGAUUGAAGUGCCGAGGAAAAUAGGACCAUUAUAUAUGUUAAGAAACUUUAGAUUCUGAUUCUAUUAAUUAAAAAUCUUUAACUAUAUAGGAUGCCAUCUUGCCUUUAGAAGUAAGUGAAACACGAGCCAAAAGUAUAAACGAAAAUUUACCGUACUAUAUCAAUUAAUUAAUUCGUUAGAAAUUUUAGAUAAAUCAGUUAGCUCCAAGAUCAAGGAUAAAAAAAAUUAAAGAUAUAUUUAAUAAGUUUAUUUAAAAUAUUUGGGUAAAGAUGAAUUUUAAAAAGGUUAUUAACAAGUAAUAAUUAUAGUUUAUUUAAUUUAAUUUACAUACAAGAAGGGCUGAUCUAUCUAUUUCAUGAGGUAGAGAUUCGAUUUUUAUAAUCUUAUUGUUUCAGUAUAAGUUAUCAUUAUGUCAAACUCAUUUACAAAUUUAAAUUUAGCUUUGUUAGCAAGAAUCAAUUUAACUGAGUUUCUGAAUCUUUAUAUACACAGGGUUCGCAUUAGUUGGUAAUAGAACAAGACUCUAAAUUCAUAUUAUAUCUCUUUAUUUUUUUUAGUUUUAAUGUUAUUUCAUCGUUGUCAUUAUCUAGAACCUAAUUGCAAUAAAAGUUUUUUUUUUUUUAAGAAAAGAUUAUUUGAGACUUGGUUGUGUGCAAUUAAAAAAAUAAAUAAAAAAAGAUAAAACAAUUUGUAUAAGGGGAAAAUUAGGGUUUAGGCCGCAAAUUAGUUUUUUAUCAAAUAUUAGAUUCAACAACUCAAAUAUAAAAAUUCUUGAUUCUUGAGAUAUGUGAGUAUUCUAUCUUGAUUUUGGGAUUAUUAAUUUAGACAUAUUUUGUUGGGUUAUUUCUGAAAGCUUUGCGUAAAAAAAAAAAUUUGUUAUUGAUUUUGGGUUUACCACAUAAAAAUCAAUCCAAAAAUAGUGUUUUUGUGUAACAUUUCUAGGAUUAAAAUUUUAGAUUUUUUUUGAAAAUAUUAUAAUGAAUUUAAAUAGGUAUUGAAUUGGAUAGAAUGAUUGUAGACCUCUAGUUUAAAUAGUGGUAAAUCUUGAUAGAAAAAAAAUAAAAUAAGAUUAUAUACACACGCAGGGGAGAAGUUUCAUUAAAAGAUAUUUGUGAAAUAUAAGCAAAUUUAGUGAAUUUACGGUGUAAGUUGUAUUGGUAACCGAAAAGUUUGUUUAAAAUACCCAAAAAACUAUGCCUAAUGGAAAAACUAAAAAUACACACAAAGAUUUCAUCUCCCUCUAUAGAUAUAUAAUAAGGCCGGCUGUCAUGGGAGAGGGAUUAAUAAGCUGUAUUCCUCUCAUUUUCUUGCAUUUCUACUCAAAGCUUCUCUAAAAUAAGGGUUUCGAGGGGAUAUUAUAAGGGUGAUUAGUAAGAGAUAAACACUUUGAUACAAGAUUUGGAAGGGUUUAAGGAGAGGGAAAGUUCGGAGUUAGUGAGAGAAACAAAGGAAUGUUGGUAAGGGAAAAAGAAAGAAGAACUUUGUAAACACUUUAUCAUCUUUAUUCAUUACAUAUUACACAUAAUCUUUAAGGAACACUCCUUUUAUAUCUUUCCUAACUUAAGUGUUGGAGGGUGUUCUACCCAACACAGAGAACUUGUUUUAUAGGAGUUCACGGAUCUUCAACCAAGCUUCUCUUCACCAGCUCCCAAAGCUCAUCAAUAUGCCAUGGAAAAGCCUAGAUAUCUUUUGAAGUUUGAUCUUGAUUUAGUCAAACAAUGUAUAAGAAUAUAACUCUCACUCUAUUGGUUAUACAUACCAGGAAAGAAAUCAAGUCAAAUAAUUAAUCCAAUAGAAACAAGGACAUGUGUAAUCGAUAAUCUCUUAACAAAUUCAGCCUUUAACGAUGCCUUGGUCAACUCGGUUCUCAAAUGUAUUUUUUAAUUUCUUUCUCUUUAGUUUCAGUGCUAGAAGUAGAGACAGAGUAAGUGUUUGUUUUUGUAUUAUAAUUUAUUUUUAAAUUGUUUUUUUGUUUUGAAAAAGUAUUAGAUUAGAUUUUUUAUAUGUUUUUAAAUGAUUUUGAUAUACUGAUAUUAAAAAUAAAAAAAUAUUUUAAUAUAUUUUUAAUUAAAAAUUAUUUAGUUUUGGUUUAACACAAGACUAUUGAAUAGAUAAUAUAUAAAAAGAUAGUAGUGAAAUUAUGGAUGAGUAUUAUUUUUUUUAUUAAUAUAAAAAUUUAAAUUACUUGCAUAUAUUACAAUUAAUUUUAUAAAUUUUAAAAUUAAUGAUUAUAUAAAUUUUUUGUAUGCCCUGAGAUUUUUCUAAGAAUAACAUGUGAUUUUUAUGAAUAUGAACGAGUAAUAUUGAUUUUUAACACGAUGACUGGUUUUUUUUUUUUUUUUUUCUGUACGUCGAUGAUGAUAACACCAAACAUUCAAUAUUCGCAAGUGGCUGGAGGAAACUCGACUAUUGUCUAAGGGUCUGAUACAUCUAUAGAUUAUUUUUAACAUUCGGUGGGCAAUAAUUUUUUUUUUUCAUUUUUUAUGAGGCAAUUUUUUCCUACCUCCAAUAAUUUUGACUUUUGGUGGGCAAUAUCGGAUUUUUAUUAUGUCAGCAUUAGUUUAUAAAAUGUUAUUCACUAGAUUGAUCUCUAUGAUCUAUUUAUUGGAAAAUUACUUUAAUUUGUUUUUAUAUUGUAUAUCUAGUUUGAAUAAGUUUAAUUACGAUAAAUUAUUAUUUUUCAUUCUAUCCGAGUUGACUUAAAGGCUGAAUUUAUUAAGAGAUAAAAUAAAUUUAACACAAUAAAAUAAAUUAUUGUUUCUUUUUCAAAAAUAUUUUUUUAAUAAAGUAGGUGGGUAUGAGUUCCCAAGGUAUUUGAAUAAUUUUGUAUGGAAAUUGGGGUGUUGGAAAGAUCGAUGUAUUAAAGAAUGAUCUAAAAUAUAAGCAUAGAUAUUGAAAAAAAUUGUUUACUUGAAACUGAAGUGCAAGAUGGUUUUAAACCUGGAAAUUUACUCAUUAAGCAUUCAUGCUUAGAAACACAAGAUGAAAACAAAAACACAGAUUCGACGAGGCAUAUAUAUUCAUAUCCUAAUAUAUUAGCACAAGCAACUUUCCAUUGGAAUUUGAACAUUACAAAGAAGGAGGUCAUCUCUUCUUAAUUUCCUGUAAUUAACCUGGAAUUAAGAUGAUGCAGGCAAACUAUACGAGCGAUGGCAUGCAGUACAGUGGUAUAACCUCCAUUUUAGGUGCUUUGAAUCUUGAGGUUCUAAUGAUGAACAGUAUACCCAAGUUUAUAAGCGUAGUUGACAAGAUCAUCGAGCUCAACCAUGUCGAUUUGUCCAUCUUUGUCUGCAUCGCCAUGGCUGAGCCCACGGGCAGCUCUGUAACGAGAGGAAAAUGCUCCCAGCGGCAGCCAGCCUGCGAUUUAGUAAUUCAGAAGAGGAGAACGGAUGCAAGAGAGGAUAGUUAAUCCGAUCACAGCCUGUGUGAUUCUUUCUAGGAUAAUUUCGUGAGAAAAAAGAAAAAGAAAAAAGCAUCAGAGUUCAAAAUAGCCGUCACUAAUCAACACCAUGCAUGUCUUGGACUUGAAGUAUUCGGUAGAGCGCAGUACUACAUAUAUAUAUCACUUUUUUUGAAAACAGAUUAUCGUAAUAAAUGCUUCGAUGCUCCUCCCAAGAUUUAGGGCGAUGAUAAGUCCAUAAUCUGAAGCAAUAGCAUUGAUAAAGAAAGCUUACAUAUAUUAUCAGAAUUUUCUUCUUGAUUAUUAUUACAUACCAGUCAGGCACAAUGACACAGAGGGACAGCAUAUGGGGAGGCCUAUGAAACCAUGUUAUAUGACUACAUAAUUAUGAUACCCAAGUGCUUUUGAGCAAAAGCAGCCAGCAUAUCGAUUUCACUGUCAUCAAUAACACCGUUGCCAUUGGCGUCUGCUGCCUUUACCCCCCUCUUUCCCUUCCAACCAGCGAACCAUCCUCCAUUACCUCGGACGGCGUCAGAGAGUUCAUCCUUGCUUAUCUUGCCAUCUUUAUC
rnacentral:lncRNA from 1 species